CCGUAGGUGAACCUGCGGAGGGAUCAUUACUGAGUUUACGCUCUACAACCCUUUGUGAACAUACCUACAACUGUUGCUUCGGCGGGUAGGGUCUCCGCGACCCUCCCGGCCUCCCGCCUCCGGGCGGGUCGGCGCCCGCCGGAGGAUAACCAAACUCUGAUUUAACGACGUUUCUUCUGAGUGGUACAAGCAAAUAAUCAAAACUUUUAACAACGGAUCUCUUGGUUCUGGCAUCGAUGAAGAACGCAGCGAAAUGCGAUAAGUAAUGUGAAUUGCAGAAUUCAGUGAAUCAUCGAAUCUUUGAACGCACAUUGCGCCCGCCAGCAUUCUGGCGGGCAUGCCUGUUCGAGCGUCAUUUCAACCCUCAAGCUCUGCUUGGUGUUGGGGCCCUACAGCCGAUGUAGGCCCUCAAAGGUAGUGGCGGACCCUCCCGGAGCCUCCUUUGCGUAGUAACUUUACGUCUCGCACUGGGAUCCGGAGGGACUCUUGCCGUAAAACCCCCCAAUUUUCCAAAGGUUGACCUCGGAUCAGGUAGGAAUACCCGCUGAACUUAAGCAUAUCAAUAAGCGGAGG
rnacentral:rRNA from 1 species